rnacentral:rRNA from 2 species
GGGAAGGGGGGGGGGCUAUACAUGCAAGUCGAGCGAACUGAUUAGAAGCUUGCUUCUAUGACGUUAGCGGCGGACGGGUGAGUAACACGUGGGCAACCUGCCUGUAAGACUGGGAUAACUUCGGGAAACCGAAGCUAAUACCGGAUAGGAUCUUCUCCUUCAUGGGAGAUGAUUGAAAGAUGGUUUCGGCUAUCACUUACAGAUGGGCCCGCGGUGCAUUAGCUAGUUGGUGAGGUAACGGCUCACCAAGGCAACGAUGCAUAGCCGACCUGAGAGGGUGAUCGGCCACACUGGGACUGAGACACGGCCCAGACUCCUACGGGAGGCAGCAGUAGGGAAUCUUCCGCAAUGGACGAAAGUCUGACGGAGCAACGCCGCGUGAGUGAUGAAGGCUUUCGGGUCGUAAAACUCUGUUGUUAGGGAAGAACAAGUACGAGAGUAACUGCUCGUACCUUGACGGUACCUAACCAGAAAGCCACGGCUAACUACGUGCCAGCAGCCGCGGUAAUACGUAGGUGGCAAGCGUUAUCCGGAAUUAUUGGGCGUAAAGCGCGCGCAGGCGGUUUCUUAAGUCUGAUGUGAAAGCCCACGGCUCAACCGUGGAGGGUCAUUGGAAACUGGGGAACUUGAGUGCAGAAGAGAAAAGCGGAAUUCCACGUGUAGCGGUGAAAUGCGUAGAGAUGUGGAGGAACACCAGUGGCGAAGGCGGCUUUUUGGUCUGUAACUGACGCUGAGGCGCGAAAGCGUGGGGAGCAAACAGGAUUAGAUACCUUGGUAGUCCAAAAA